CUAUGGUGUAAUGGUAACACUACAGAUUUUGAUUCUGUAAUUAUAGGUUCGAAUCCUAUUAG
rnacentral:tRNA from 1 species